GUGCUUCCUUCUGCUGCAUAUACACUAAAAUUGGAAUGAUAGAGAAAAUUAGCGUGACCCCUGUGCAAGGAUGACAUACAAAUUCGUGAAGCAUUCCAUGAUUUU
ensembl:snRNA U6 U6 spliceosomal RNA